GAUGAAGAACGUAGCGAAAUGCGAUAAGUAAUGUGAAUUGCAGAAUUCAGUGAAUCAUCGAAUCUUUGAACGCACAUUGCGCCCCCUGGAAUUCCGGGGGGCAUGCCUGUUCGAGCGUCUCAGGGACGAACCCUCGCGCGGGUGUACGCGCGGUCGUGGCUGCGGUGGCGUGCCCGAGGCGGCGGCCACCGCGCUGGAAUCCAUGGGCGGACGCCUGCCGCGUGGCCGAGCGUGGUAUGACGCAUUGGCGCUCGCACGCGGCGAGGCUGCCAGCCCUGGCCCGUCUGUCGGGCGGGGGAGAGCAAGACACGUGAACUCCUCGAAUCAGGUAGGGAUACCCGCUGAACUUAAGCAUAUCAAUAAGCGGAGGA
rnacentral:misc_RNA from 1 species